UGCAGUCGAACGGUGAACACGGAGCUUGCUCUGUGGGAUCAGUGGCGAACGGGUGAGUAACACGUGAGCAACCUGCCCCUGACUCUGGGAUAAGCGCUGGAAACGGCGUCUAAUACUGGAUAUGUGACGUGACCGCAUGGUCUGCGUCUGGAAAGAAUUUCGGUUGGGGAUGGGCUCGCGGCCUAUCAGCUUGUUGGUGAGGUAAUGGCUCACCAAGGCGUCGACGGGUAGCCGGCCUGAGAGGGUGACCGGCCACACUGGGACUGAGACACGGCCCAGACUCCUACGGGAGGCAGCAGUGGGGAAUAUUGCACAAUGGGCGCAAGCCUGAUGCAGCAACGCCGCGUGAGGGACGACGGCCUUCGGGUUGUAAACCUCUUUUAGCAGGGAAGAAGCGAAAGUGACGGUACCUGCAGAAAAAGCGCCGGCUAACUACGUGCCAGCAGCCGCGGUAAUACGUAGGGCGCAAGCGUUAUCCGGAAUUAUUGGGCGUAAAGAGCUCGUAGGCGGUUUGUCGCGUCUGCUGUGAAAUCCGGAGGCUCAACCUCCGGCCUGCAGUGGGUACGGGCAGACUAGAGUGCGGUGGGGGAGAUUGGAAUUCCUGGUGUAGCGGUGGAAUGCGCAGAUAUCAGGAGGAACACCGAUGGCGAAGGCAGAUCUCUGGGCCGUAACUGACGCUGAGGAGCGAAAGGGUGGGGAGCAAACAGGCUUAGAUACCCUGGUAGUCCACCCCGUAACGUUGGGAACUAGGUUGUGGGGUCCAUUCCAC
rnacentral:rRNA from 1 species